rnacentral:piRNA from 1 species
UGAGUGAAUUUAGGGUGUUUGACUUUGCAAC